rnacentral:rRNA from 1 species
GAUUCCCCUAGUAACUGCGAGUGAAGCGGGAAAAGCUCAAAUUUAAAAUCUGGCGGUCUUUUGGCUGUCCGAGUUGUAAUCUAGAGAAGUGUUAUCCGCGCUGGACCGUGUACAAGUCUCCUGGAAUGGAGCAUCAUAGAGGGUGAGAAUCCCGUCUUUGACAUGGACUGCCAGGGCUUUUGUGAUGCGCUCUCAAAGAGUCGAGUUGUUUGGGAAUGCAGCUCAAAAUGGGUGGUAAAUUCCAUCUAAAGCUAAAUAUUGGCGAGAGACCGAUAGCGAACAAGUACCGUGAGGGAAAGAUGAAAAGAACUUUGGAAAGAGAGUUAAACAGUACGUGAAAUUGCUGAAAGGGAAACGCUUGAAGUCAGUCGCGUCGUCCAGGGAUCAACCUUGCUUUUGCUUGGUGCACUUUCUGGUUUGACGGGUCAGCAUCAAUUUUGACCAUUGGAAAAAGAUCGAGGGAAUGUGGCAUCUUUGGAUGUGUUUAUAGCCCUUGGUCGCAUACAAUGGUUCGGGAUUGAGGAACUCAGCACGCCGCAAGGCCGGGUGUAACAGCCACGUACGUGCUUAGGAUGUUGACAUAUAUAAUGGCUUUAAUCGACCCGUCUUGAAACACGGACCAAGGAGUCUAACAUGCCUGCGAGUGUUUGGGCGGAAAACCCGAGCGCGUAAUGAAAGUGAAAAGUUGAGAUCCCUGUCGUGGGGAGCAUCGACGCCCGGACCAGACCUUUUGCGACGGUUCCGCGGUAGAGCAUGUAUGUUGGGACCCGAAAGAUGGUGAACUAUGCCUGAAUAGGGUGAAUCCAGAGGAAACUCUGGUGGAGGCUCGUAGCGAUUCUGACGUGCAAAUCGAUCGUCAAAUUUGGGUAUAGGGGCGAAAGACUAAUCGAACCAUCUAGUAGCUGG